GGACACACCAAAAACAAAUUAUUGGACAGAAGACAAAUUAAAAAUAGAAAGUUUGUCUGAUCAGAGGAUACAUGCAAAAACACUCAUGGCAAGUGAUAAGGAAGGACUACAAGUUGAAGACCUUCUCCAGGCCUGGACUAAAAAUGGAUCUUUCUGCUAACCUGUGGAGAAAAUACACCUUCAGCAGUACUUACCCCUCCAAUGCUCCGCCAAUUCGGCUAUCCCUCCUGGGAUCACAUGACUGUGGGCUCUUCUACUGAUGUCCCAACUGGAUAUGCUCUUCUUUCUUUCUGUUCAGCUGCAUAAUGUAGAUGCAGGAACCACGAGAAAAAUGGAAAGAUCCAUAACGCCCAUUGUAGUCUAUGGGUCCAUGAAAAAACACGGAAACAAUGUGGAUGGCAUCUGUGUUUCGACCAUGUUUCAUGGAUCGUUGCUGGGAGAAGCUUUUGAAAUUAAUUUUCAGCUGACCAGCGUCCGUGCAAUCCGGA